GGGCGUAUUCCCCUGCUGGCUGGGGAGUACCUCGUUCGCUGCUCCGACAUUCCCAAGCUGCCCUCGGUCUCCUUCCUCCUUGGCGGGGUCUGGUUUAACCUCACCGCCCAGGACUACGUCAUCCAGGUUGCUCGGGCUGGCGUCCACCUCUGUCUGUCCGGCUUCCAGGCCUUGGAUAUGCCUCCGCCUGUAGGGCCCCUGUGGAUCCUUGGCGACGUCUUCUUGGGGACCUACGUGACGGUCUUCGAUCGCGGAGACACUAACAGUGGUGCCCGAGUGGGCCUGGCGCGCGCUAGACCUCGUGGGGCCGGGGGGCGAGGGGGCGGGCGCGCGCAGGCGCAGUCCUCCGGCUGACGCCCCGGUUGGGUGCAUGCGCAGUGGGUGGUAGCGGUGGUCCCAAUACCCAGUAAAAAUCUGUAUCUUUUGAGCGAAGGUACCUGGGCCGCGCCUUGCAAAUGCAUGCUUCUGUAGAGAA